CAUAAUAUAAAGUUUAAGGAAACAAUAAUGAAAAAAAAUAGUAAAGGAAAAUAGGUAAUGGUUGAAAAUUAAAAGGGGUGGUCAUAGUUGUUCAAAAAAUUGAAAAAGUAAAUAAAGAAAAUAUGUAUUUUUACAAAUAUAAAUAACUAAAAAAAGUGAAUGAAAUAAAAAUAGUAAGAAAAAGUGAAUGAAACAAAAAAUAUAUAGUAACAUAAUAUAAAAUUUAAGGAAACAAUAAUGAAAAAAAAUAGGUAAUGAAACACUAAAUAGUUAAUGAAAAAAUACUCAUCAAAAAAAUUUAAGGAAACAAUUGAAGGAAAAAAAAUAAAACAUUG
rnacentral:lncRNA from 1 species